AUUGAAUCUAAAAGUGCACAUUCCCCUCCCCAAGCAUGCAUGAUAUUCUAGUCAUUCUCAACAUUCACUCAUUUCUGUCAAUACAACUCACACUAGUUUACCAUCUGACUUGCUUGGCGUUGAGGGAGAAUAUCGGGGUGAGGAAGCAUAACUUGCUUCAAACUGUGCAAGUUUACCAUCCGACUUGUUGGGCGUUGAGGGAGGAUAUUGACCUUUAUCCGACAUUUUGGGCGUUGAGGGAGAAUAUUGAACUUCAUCCAACUUGUUGAGCUCUGAGACAGAAUGUUGAACUUUAUCGACAUCAGAUGUCUUCUUCGCUUUGAUGUUAUUUUCUUGAUCCUCCCCCGGAUCUAUUUUGGAGGGUUCAACAAUCUUUUCUUUGGGUGUCUCCAGUGUAAUAUCAUUCUUUACCUCUUUAUUUUUUGUCAUUUCGACAACAGGGGGAAGGUUGGGAGGCAGAUUUUUCUUUUCAUUGGAUUUAACUUCAGGUGCAUUAUACAGAGAACUACUCCAUUCCUCCGGUUUCAUGAGUUCACAAGAUCUGUACAUCAUGUUAUACUGGUCUCUAUUGAAGCUGCUGUUUCCCAUAUGAAUACUAAACAAUGACUCAUUUGAAGCUAGUUCCAUGAGACAUAACACUUUUCACUACCUAGUUGGUGUAGGAACUGAUCAAGAUGUUUAAUCCGAAUAAUGAUUUGGUCUGCUAGAAGAUGAUCUUAUUCAUUUUUUUCCUGCAAGGUAGAUUAUAUAAGCAUAUCACUUUUCAGAAUUGGACAUCAUGAUUUGUUGAUAAUGUGAUUGAUGAAGAUUUGACUACUCAUUUUUUUAUAUUUAUUCCAAGAGAUACACAUGGAGAAGUAGAUAUCUAAUGUAGUGAAUUUGUGGUCCACCUUAUUUUGCUUAUGGAAAUAUGAUGGAAUUGUCAGGUUUCAAAAACCUCUUGGCUAUAGGUCUUUCUUGGUUUGAAGAUGUGCCUUUCAAUUUCUGAACUCCAGCUAUCUAAUUCAAAAGGCCUUAUAGAUGCUGAUUGCAGUUAAAUGCUUGAAUUGCAGCAUGCUUAACUAGAUAAGUCAAUAGUUGUAUUCAAUUUGCAACAUAUAUGUUAAUUUAUUCUCGUUGUGAUCUCAGCAACACAAGACAUAUAGGCAAAAUGAAAGAGGAAGUCACACAAGGCCUCCUUUAUCUCCUACAGUUCACACUGAGCUAAAAGAAGUGAGGUUCGGUGGAUUUCAUGGAACAAAAGAAGAGACUGAACUUGCUAUUUAUAUUCUGAGAAGUGCAACGGUACUCGACCAGAUGUUUCUCAGCCAAUACUCAAUCAAUCCAUAUUUUAAGGCUUAUUAUGGUCAUGAUAUAUGGGAGGAAAGAGAACGAGAACGCAUCUCAAUCCAACGACAACUUUUUGAGCAAGCUAUCUCUAGUAAUACUGUGGUGAUCGUCCAAUAGGUUCCUGUACAAACGCUAUAUCCGCUCAUUGUCAUUAGUAGCUGUAGAGCAACACAAGACAUAUGGACAAAAGGCAAGAGGAAGUCACAUAAGGUCUCCUUUAUCUCCUACAGAUCACACUGAGCUAAAAGAAGUGAGAUUCGGUAGAUUUCAUGGAACAAAAGAAGAGAUUGAACUUGCUAUUUAUAUUCUGAGAAGUGCAGCAACAGUACUCGACCAGAUGUUUCUCAGCCAAUACUCAAUCGGCCCAUAUUUUAAGGCUUAUUAUGGUCAUGAUAUAUGGGAGAAAAGAGAACGUGAACGCAUUUCAAUCCAACGACAACUUCUUGGGCAAGCUAUCUCUAGUAGUACUGUGGUGAUCAUCCAGUAGGUUCCUGUACAAACACUAUAUCAGCUCUCUAUUGUCAUUAGUAGUUGUAGAGGUAAUGGAAGAAUUGCCUUUUUGGUUGCAAUUGCUCGUUUUUUUGAGACUCGGUGUGUUAUUAUUUUACCUUAAAGGGACCAGUUGUGGUUAGUUAAAUCUUGUUUAGGGGUUUGUUCCUACUCCCGUAGUUCGUCCUUCAAAUCUGUCAUAGUUUCCUGGAUGAAUGGGAAAGUUGGAAAAUGUUAAUUACACCUUAUUCAGUGUCUUCUAUUGUUUCAUACUGGGUCUAUUUUUUAAAAUAAUUUCUUUUACCACC